GACUCCAUUGCCACUCUAAUAUAUAGAAAAGCGAAUGUUGACUUCUAAUUCUUAAACAUGUUAAAUAUAAUGUUUUUAGUGUAGAUUGACUGUGAAAUACUGGGAGGAGUGUAUCUUCUUAUUUGCAAGACAUCUCAUGCAUGAACAGUUUUCAAGAGUUGGUUUUAGCUUUUCUUUUCUUUUUUUGUUUUUUAAUUCAUUUGCACUGACUGGAUUUUAGUGCGUGGGUUUCUUAUUAGCACUGGACUCUUGAGCAGAAAUGGGAAAGGCACUGAUGGUAUGUUUGGUUGGGUAUGCAAAUCCACAUGUUCUUGUCAUAAGUUAUCUGAUGCAAGGUUUUGGUUUUCUGUACUACAUUAUGUGCCAUUUCAUGUUACUAUAUUCUUAACUUCCUGUUUAAGUUUUCUUACUCAUCAGUUGAUGGUGGCAUUCUCUUCCACCACAGUGGCAAUGUUGAUGCCAUUGUUCAGAAAUGGCAAUGUGGAUGGAUGGCAUGAUCUCCACUGUAGCAAUAAGGCAUUACAUAUAGUUGCUAGUAUAUUAUUUAAAUGGAUUUUAAAUAAUCAUCAUGGUGAACCCUGCAAAUUUAAGGUUGCCCGUCUCUCUCCCAACAGUUUCCUUCAUUGUGGCCCACUUGAAUAAUAGGACAGCUUGAUUUUUUGGCCCUAUGGCUCUAGGCCUAACAUGAGAUUACACAUUUGGUGCUGUACUAAUGGAACCUUCAGUUGUCAUGUUAUUGUGAUAGGUGUCCAUGAUGGGCUUUUCAAAUUGGGUUGGUGUUUUCCAAUGCUAGGCCAACCAGAACUUGGGUCUGAACCCAAGUUGCAGCCCUAGACCAAGCAUGCACCUGGGCCCAACACUUCUUCUUUACUUUGUAAUGGGUGCCACUGCUAGCUAACUAUCAUAGUAAUAAAAAAAUCUGCAUAUUUGCAAAUUGCUUUGAAACUGAAAUUCACUCUUUUGGGUCUGUGUAUCUUCUUUCAAUAUGAUUCAGUCCACUCGAUCUAUUUGAUGAUAUAGAUAUACUAAUGCAGAGAAAAUCUUCUUUUCUUUUUUGGUAAAUUGAAAUUCAUUACAUGCCCACUUUAUCAGUUAUAAUAUCUGGACUGCAACAUUUCAGGAUGCAGGGGGAACUUGGUGCAAAUGCUAUAUUAGUUGUGUCAAUUGCUGCUUGUAAAGCUGGUGCUGCUGAAAAGGAGGCAAGUUUUUUUUUUUUUUUUUUUUUUAAUAUGGUUAUUGCCAAGCUGACCUGUUUUUAAAGCCAUGCCCUAGGCGAUUUUUUCCUGUGGUUCAAUUUUCAUUUGCUUCAAUGUUUCUUGAACUUUUUACACUAUUGCUCUUCAAAAAUUUUACUACUUUUUUUUUUUUUUAAUGAAAUACAACUAGGAGUAAUUUCUGGCCCCUAAGCAGAAUCCUCUCCCCAAAGUUAGAGCCAAACUUAAUGGAAAAGGAAGAUGAGGAUGAAGCGAGAGCCACCCUAAGACACCAUGUGCAUCCCCUGUUUUGGCAGUCUACUACGAAUACUGUGCCCAGGUGAUCUUAUACACUCAAAAUGUCUGAAAGGUGUGUCUGACAUGGUUACUUCUCAUACAGCAUUUCUUACUGUGGUGUUUCUUCUAAAGUUAGUUUAGAGUGUAUUAUUUUAUUUAGUUCAUAAUAGAUACAUCUGAUUGAGAUGCUUUUGUCUGUUGCAUCUUCUAUUGUAGAAUCCAAACACGUGCAAAUGCUGUUUCCACCUCAAUGUCUUCAAGCUGUUGCUGUUAUAGGGACGACUGUCUUUCUCGUCUCUGGUCGGUGGGUUUCUUUCUUUAUUUCUGUUUCUUCUUUUUUUUUG